rnacentral:rRNA from 1 species
AUUGAACGCUGGCGGCAGGCCUAACACAUGCAAGUCGAGCGGAUGAAGGGAGCUUGCUCCUGGAUUCAGCGGCGGACGGGUGAGUAAUGCCUAGGAAUCUGCCUGGUAGUGGGGGAUAACGUCCGGAAACGGGCGCUAAUACCGCAUACGUCCUGAGGGAGAAAGUGGGGGAUCUUCGGACCUCACGCUAUCAGAUGAGCCUAGGUCGGAUUAGCUAGUUGGUGGGGUAAAGGCCUACCAAGGCGACGACCCGUAACUGGUCUGAGAGGAUGAUCAGUCACACUGGAACUGAGACACGGUCCAGACUCCUACGGGAGGCAGCAGUGGGGAAUAUUGGACAAUGGGCGAAAGCCUGAUCCAGCCAUGCCGCGUGUGUGAGGAAGAUCUUCGGAUUGUAAAGCACUUUAAGUUGGGAGGAAGGGCAGUAAGUUAAUACCUUGCUGUUUUGACGUUACCAACAGAAUAAGCACCGGCUAACUUCGUG